CAAAUAUGGUAAUUUGUAGAUAUAUCUAUGUAAAGCUCAACUUUUUUAAGUUAUUCCUCCAAAAGUUCUAAUAUAUUCAGAUAUGCCUCUGCCAUUAAGAUCUGUUAGAAAAAUUUCGUUAAGCACAAUUAAAAUACUUAAAUGAUUAAUUAAUAAUGUGAAUUGACAAUUUUAUACUUCUUCUUCUUCCUCUUCCUCUUCCUCUCCUGCUUAUUUUUCUUCCUCUUCUUCUUCAUAUCCUUAUUUUCCUCAUCAUUUUCUCCUCCUUCUUCUUCUUCUUCUUCUUCUUCUUCGUUGUCAUCGUCGAUGAUCCGAUUGUCGUCGCCAUUGUGGUGCUCGCGUGGGCCGUCGUCAAGGGCACCUCCGAUGGCAGCGGCCGCGCUUUCGUCUUUCGCCUUUCGCCUCUCCCUCGUCCUAAUUGGCCGCAACCCCAACAAGCUCCGCAAGGUCGCCGUCGCCGUCGUCCGCUCCCACAGCCUGAAGAGGAAGAGGAAGAAGGCAAGGGCAAGGGCAAAAUUGUCAUUUUUCAACUCUACUGUUAAAAAAUUAACAGCUCUCUAACGGAUCAUAAUCAGAGGGACAUAUCUGAAUAUAUUAGAAUUUUUGCAGAAAUAACUUAUAAAAGUUGAGCUUUGUAGGGAUAUAUCUGCAAUUCACUAUGUUUGCAAGGACGUGUAUGCAAUUAACUCAUAAUAAUAAAUAUAUUUGGUUUCCUAACUUUCUAUUUCUAAUAAAUGAUAAAAGAUUUGAUGAUUGAUAGUCAGAUCUUAAGUUUGAAGAUUAGAUAUUUUAUAUUUUUAAUAAAAUUUAAUUUUUUUAAAAAAAUAAAUGAAACAGAUAACAUGUUAUCUUUUUCUCGAAAAAAAUAUAUAGUUUUAUAUAGUUUUAAGGGUUGAUCUGUGUGCGGGUGAGAAAAGUAGUUAGUUCGCUAAGAGACUGCUUGUGUAACGACCCAACUCACUAGUAAUAAUUACUCGUUUAGCCCAAACUACCGAUCCAAAAUACUUAAGUCCAUUUAUUAUAAGGGUUAAUUUCAUACAGGUUCCUGCAAAUAUAGUGAAUUGCAAAUAUAUCCCUAUAAAGUUCAACUUUCUUAUCUUGUCUCUGCAAAAAUCAUAAUGUUUUCAAAUAUGUCCCUACCGUUGGAAUCCGUUUUUUAAAUGCUUAACUCUAGUUAAUUUAUGAGAUAGCUUGAUAUUUUUGCCCUUUUUAUAUUAUAUUAUUGUGACUUUUAAAGGAACAUAUUUGUGAUGGCAAAAUUAACAUUUCACUUAAAAGAUAAACAGUUCUAUAACAGUAACAAACCAGAGGGAUAUAUUUGAAAAUAUUAGAACUUUUGUAAAGACAAUAUAUGAAAGUUGAAUUUUGUAGGGACAUAUUUAUUAUUUACUAUGUUUGCAGGGACAUGAAUACAUUUAACCUUUAUUAUUACUAGAGUGGUAGCCUUAUAUUUUCGAUCAUACCCCUUUCCUAUCUGAUUUAAAACUAUUGGAAUGUUAUAGACCGUCUCUGUUUAGAUCAUAAUGUUCUCGUCAGAUCCAAAUCCAGAUCACAAACAUAUGAACCUAAAUUAUUUUGAGAUUCUAGACGCGGCUCCCGCGGGCUUAAAAUGUGGCAUUCACCAAAUCCGUAGUGUACUACUAUGUCUCGUAUGACACUUAACUUUCACACUUCUGACUGACUGGUAUUCGACCCUAAUACUAAUCGUAACGACUCGACUCGCUAGUAAUAAUAACUCGUUGAGCUCAAACCACCGGCUCAAAAUACUCAAAUCUAAUUAUUAUUACUAAGGUGCGUAGUUUUAUAUUCACUACUUUACCCUGCUAUGCUGAAUUGGCAAGAGGAAAGUUUUUUGAUCGAAAAAAAAAUUUAGAGAGUUAUUUUGUCAAUUAAAAAAUUUUAUAAGAUUAUUUGAAAAUUUUCCAACUAAAAUUUAAUAAAAUUAAAUAAUAAUCUCAAUAAAAUUAGGCAUAUAUAAAAUAAAAUUAAAAUGUUUGAAUAAAUAACAAAAUUCUUGGGUAUCCCAUUCCCACUAUAAAUUACGGUGCAUUGGCUUGAGACGCUUUUGCAUUAUUCUUAUUCUGAUCCAAGCCGAAAGGAGGAGGACCGAACGUUUUUGGGUCUUCUUGUGACUGCAAGAUUUAGGAGGAAUUUUACACUGUCACACUUGCACUACGUCAUUAAUAAUAAGUCAAUUAUAUUUUUUCUUUUCAAACAAAAAUAUAAUAAAUUUUUUUUUAUAAUCAUGAUAGGACAUAUAUUUUUAAAAGAAAAUAUUUGAUUGACUUGUUACGUCACGUCAUUGAUAUAUCCGUUGUAUUCUAGAAUUUUUCGUGAUUUAGAUGCUGUUGCGCGUUUGCAAGUGUGCAAUGGUAAAAAAUGUAAGGAACCCCUCAACUAUAGCAAAUUUGGAAUUGGUCUCCUCAGCUUUACUUUGUUUUUAACUCAUUGUUUUCAAACUUUUUCCUUGUCACUUGAUUGAAAAUUUCACCAAAUUCAUGGACAAUUUUACUAAAUUUGGUAAUAGUUAGCAACACUACAACAGAAUUAGAUUAUAGAGAUAUAUGUUUGGGACACUUUUAUAUAAGUGUCACAUUUAUGCCUAAAUUUUUUAAAAAAUCUACUAACAUCUAAAUAUAAAGUUUAAUCCAACCAAAAAUAAAAGGUUACUCUACUCAACCCAUCCCACCCAGCCCAUUCGACCCGAUUAUAAAUAAAAAAGAAAAAAAUUAGAAAAAUCGAUUACCAUCUCCCCUUCUCCCCUCACUCAAUCUACUAAAAUUUUAGACGAAGAGCCCUUCCCUCUCGUCGUUCUCUGCCACCGCAACCAACGAGAUAGAGUUCCGGCAGUUGCUAAAUGCUUAAAUAAGUAUUGGUAAAUUAGCAGCACUCUUUUAAGUUAUAGCGACACUCUUUAACUGUCACUAUAUACCUAGCGACCCCACAUAUAGCAACACUUUUCAAAAGUGUCGGUAAUUUAGCCAGCAGCACUUUUUUGACUUAUACCGGCAUUUAAAAGUGUCGUUAUAGACCGUUUUUGUUGUAGUGCAAUCUUUAAUAAAUAAGAGUAUAACAAUUAACAAAUAAUAAUUAAUAGAGUUACCAAAAUU
rnacentral:lncRNA from 1 species